UGGACGAUGGUCCUCCUGAUGCUCUUGGUGCAGGAGAUGGUUUGGGUGGAGACAUGGGACGUGCUGGGCUGGCGGUAAACUUCAAACCCUCCACCAAGUAAAUGACCAUCACCACGUCCUCCGAGUUCAGUGAUGGAGGAGGAGGAGGAUGAAGUGGAGGAGGAGGAAGAGGAAGUGGAGGAGGAAGUGGAGGAGGAUUUAGAUGCAGAGUAGGAAGUACCUGGCUCCUUGGAGAUGGUUGCUGGGGAUGUGCUGGACCCUUCCUCCUCAAGGAUCAACUCGACCGUGUU